UUCUGUGGAUGAUGAGAUCAAAAAUUUACAGUUAUCCCUGUCUGACUUAAGUGCUGAUAACUUCAUAAUCUGACACAGUU